ensembl:snRNA U4 U4 spliceosomal RNA
AGCUUUGCGCAGUGGCCGUAUCAUAGCCAAUGAGGUUUAUCCGAGGCACAAUUAUUGCUAGUUGAAAAAAAAAAAAAAAGUGGAGACCAGUAGUUUUUCUUCAUGUCUGUUUAUUCCUUGGUCCUUUUCUCUAUAG